rnacentral:rRNA from 1 species
AGCGAACGCUGGCGGCAGGCUUAACACAUGCAAGUCGAGCGGACCUUUCGGGGUCAGCGGCGGACGGGUGAGUAACGCGUGGGAACGUGCCUUCCGGUUCGGAAUAACCCUGGGAAACUAGGGCUAAUACCGGAUACGCCCUUAUGGGGAAAGGUUUACUGCCGGAAGAUCGGCCCGCGUCUGAUUAGCUAGUUGGUGGGGUAACGGCCUACCAAGGCGACGAUCAGUAGCUGGUCUGAGAGGAUGACCAGCCACACUGGGACUGAGACACGGCCCAGACUCCUACGGGAGGCAGCAGUGGGGAAUAUUGGACAAUGGGCGCAAGCCUGAUCCAGCCAUGCCGCGUGAGUGAUGAAGGCCUUAGGGUUGUAAAGCUCUUUUAUCCGGGACGAUAAUGACGGUACCGGAGGAAUAAGCCCCGGCUAACUUCGUG